GUAUCCUAACCGUGCGAAGGUAGCGUAAUCACUUGUCCUUUAAAUGAGGACUAGUAUGAACGGUUUCACGAAGGCUGCACUGUCUCCUUUUUCUAAUCAGUAAAACUAAUCUUCCCGUGAAGAAGCGGGAAUUUUCCUAUAAGACGAGAAGACCCUAUGGAGCUUUAAACAAUUGAUACACUUGCAUCUUAAACCUCACUUUUUAUUUAACCAAGCAUUUUGUUUCUAGUUUUAGGUUGGGGUGACCGCGGAGAAAAACCUAUCCUCCAUGUCGAAAGAAAUUCUAUUUCUUAGCAAAAAGCCACAUCUUUAUGCAUCAACAAAUUGACCCUAAUUGACCCAAUAAUUUGAUCAACGAACCAAGUUACCCUAGGGAUAACAGCGCAAUCCACUUCAAGAGCUCUUAUCGACAAGUGGGUUUACGACCUCGAUGUUGGAUCAGGGUAUCCAAGUGGUGCAGUAGCUA
rnacentral:rRNA from 1 species